rnacentral:tRNA from 1 species
GGAGGUGUCGCAUAAAUGGUUAGUGCAGCGGCGUGCUAAGCCGUCGGGAGAAAUCCCUUGUGCGUUCGAGUCGCACCGCCUCCG